rnacentral:rRNA from 1 species
UACGAAGGGGGCUAGCGUUGCUCGGAAUCACUGGGCGUAAAGCGCACGUAGGCGGCUUUUAAGUCAGGGUGAAAUCCUGGAGCUCAACUCCAGAACUGCCUUUGAUACUGAGAGCUUGAGUCCGGGAGAGGUGAGUGGUAACUGCGAGUGUAGAGGUGAAAUUCGUAGAUAUUCGCAAGAACACCAGUGGCGAAGGCGGCUCACUGGCCCGGUACUGACGCUGAGGUGCGAAAGCGUGGGGAGCAAACAGGG